UCCAAUCGAUGUAAGCUAAAAACGCGCGCGUACGAUACGUCGCGUAUGAUACGCGUCCGUGUGAAACGGGCCUACCGUUACGCCGAGCAACGGUAUGGAAAUAUCGAUAAAAAGUAGUGAAUAGAUGAAAUCCAAUAGACGGAGAAACACCAUGUUAGUAUUGAGUUGUUGUGCAGCGAUACUUGAACGACGUGUUCGACCGCCGACAUCGUUCACUUCUUUUUCGCAAAACCUCCCAAGAUUUGAUAUACUGGAAGUCACACAUAAACCUAUCACACAAUUCGAUUUUCAUUCGACAUCAAACUGCUGGACUAAGUAGGUACUGGCAAAAUAAUAUUAAUUUAUUUCAUUGUCGGUAAUCUAAACUACACGAACUAAGAAAUUCAUCAUGAGUACUUUAAAUCUCAGAAAUACGUCACUUUACGACCUAUCAUUAAUUGAAAUAUGCCAUACAAUAAAUGAAAGUACACUGCAAUAUGUGUUAAAACAGUACUACCAAAAAUAAGUUUAGAUGUCUUAUGGAAGAUAGGUCUCAGGUGCCGGUGAGAAGUACCACUAUUAUUCUAACAAGAAUCCAGUUGAUGAAGGAUGUGAAAUAACUCGAUUUCGUUUAUACGAUAAUUACGAUAUAACCAAUGAGAAAAUUGAAGAAUUUGGAACAACUCAACAAAUUAAAUCUGUUGUUCAUUUUAAUUGGUCUAAUUUUUGUGACAAAGAAUUAUUCUUAAAAUUAGCUGAAGGGAAAGAAGUCAACUAUAAUCAACUAAUUAUUUU